AUGGCCGCAGUAUUUUGACUGUGCAAAGGUAGCAUAAUUAUUAGCUUUUUAAUUGAAAGCUUGUAUGAAGGGUUGGACGAGAUAAAAUCUGUCUUUAUUUAAAUUAAAAUAGAAUUUAACUUUUAAGUCAAAAGGCUUAAAUGACUGUAAAAGACGAGAAGACCCUAUAGAUCUUUAUUAAAUUGAAAUUUUGAUAAUUUAGGAUUAUUUUAAUUUAAAGUUUUAAUUUAAUUUUAUUGGGGUAAUAUAAAGAUUAAAUAAAUUCUUUUUAUUUAUAACAUUAAUUUAUGAAUAUAUGAUCCAUUAUUAUUGAUUAAAAGAUUAAGUUACCUUAGGGAUAACAGCGUAAUUUUUUUGGAGAGCUCAUAUCGAUAAAAAAGUUUGCGACCUCGAUGUUGGAUUAAAAAUUAGCUUGGGUGCAGAAGCUCAAGAUUUUGGUCUGUUCGACCAUUAAAUUUUUACAUGAUCUGAGUUCAGACCGGCGUAAGCCAGGUCGGUUUCUAUCUUUAUUAAAAUAAAAUAUUUUAGUACGAAAGGACCAAAUAUUUAAUAUAAUUAUAUUUAUUUUUGAAUAAUAUU
rnacentral:rRNA from 1 species